GACAGAGGGGGCAAGCGUUGCUCGGAAUGACUGGGCGUAAAGGGCGCGUAGGCGGCUCGUGAAGUCGGGUGUGAAAGCCCGGGGCUCAACCCCGGAACGGCAUCCGAUACUGGCGGGCUUGAGACCGGGAGAGGAGGGUGGAAUACCCAGUGUAGAGGUGAAAUUCGUAGAUAUUGGGUGGAACACCGGUGGCGAAAGCGGCUCUCUGGCCCGGAUCUGACGCUGAGGCGCGAAAGCGUGGGGAGCAAACAGG
rnacentral:rRNA from 1 species